UUUACAUUUAAAUGUAAUUAUUAAUAAAAUUACCUAACAUUAAAAAUACAGUUCCUCAGUAGUGCUAACCUCAUUUCAAGUGCUCAUUAGCCACAUGUGGCUAGUGGCUACUGCACUGGACACUGCCAAUUAAUGAACAUCGCCAUCAUUGCAGGAAGUGCAACUGGACAGCACUGACCCAGAGACAGGGGUUAAAAUGGACCUUCCUUCCUAUCAAGCCAUGGACUAAUGAUCAAGGAGUGGGACCAUUUAUCAGACCUGUCCAGUCUAUGAAUUCCACCCCAAGGGCCACAGUUGUGCACGGGCAUUGAGCCAAUCCCUGGACUUCUGCUGGCACGUGGGAGGAAGGACUCUCUCUUUCCAUGAGGAUUGCUGAGAGGAAGCCUAGGGCUGCCAGCAAUCAUCCUGCCACCGCAAGGGAGGUGCACACCUGAAUGAAGGUAACAGCCGCAGAGAGCAAAGCCCACAUGGAGGAGCCAGGACAGGAUGGAGACAACAAGGCUUGAGCCCCUAGAUCCGGGCAUGCCUGGCCUUUUAGUUGCUCGUCUGAUCUCUAUUGGAUACUUCCCUCUGGAGGAAGCCAACUGCUUUGCUGGAAGCAGCCCUGGGGAGAUGCCAUGGAGUAAGAAACUGAAGCUUCCAACCAACAGCUGUCAGGGAACUGAAGUCUCUUUCCAAGAGCCAUAUGAAUUAGCUUAGACAUGGAUCUUCCAUCCUAGCCAGCCCUUGGAAGACCAGCCCCCAGCCUACAUCCUGAAUGCAACCUCACUAGAGACCCUGAGCCAGAACAACCCAGUCAGGCUACUCCUGGGUUCUUGAGUCCAGGAACUACAUGAGAUAAUAAAUGUUUGUUGUUUUAAGCCUAU